AUUGAACGCUAGCGGGAUGCUUUACACAUGCACGUCGAACGAGUGGCGGACGGGUGAGUAAUAUCUCGGAACGUGCCCAGUAGCGGGGGCUAACUACUCGAAAGAGUGGCUAAUACCGCAUACUCUUGGAGCUGCCGAUAUCGGAUUAGCUAGUUGGUGGGGUACAGGCUCACCAAGGCAACGAUCCGUAGCUGGUUUGAGAGGACGACCAGCAACACUGGGACUGAGACACGGUCCAGACUCCUACGGGAGGCAGCAGUGGGGAAUUUGGGACAAUGGGGGAAAUCCUGAUCCAGCCAUCCCGCGUGUAUGAGAAGGCCUUCGGGUUGUAAAGUACUUUUGGCAGAGAAGCGGUAUCUGCAGAAUAAGCACCGGCUAACUACGUGCCAGCAGCCGCGGUAAUUC
rnacentral:rRNA from 1 species